rnacentral:rRNA from 1 species
UCAAAUUUGAAAUCUGGCUUCGGCCCGAGUUGUAAUUUGCAGAGGAUGUUUCUGGCGCGGUGCCUUCCGAGUUCCCUGGAACGGGACGCCACAGAGGGUGAGAGCCCCGUAUGGUUGGACACCAAGCCUGUGUGAAACUCCUUCGACGAGUCGAGUAGUUUGGGAAUGCUGCUCUAAAUGGGAGGUAAAUCUCUUCUAAAGCUAAAUACCGGCCAGAGACCGAUAGCGCACAAGUAGAGUGAUCGAAAGAUGAAAAGCACCUUGAAAAGGGGGUUAAAUAGUACGUGAAAUUGUUGAAAGGGAAGCACUUAUGACCAGACUUGGGCCGGGCGGCUCAUCAGGGGUUCUCCCCUGUGCACUCCGCCCGGCACAGGCCAGCAUCGGUUCUCGUGGGGGGAUAAGACCGUCAGGAACGUAGCACCCUCCGGGGUGUGUUAUAGCCUGGCGGACGAUACCCCCGUGGGGACCGAGGUCCGCGCUCCGCAAGGAUGCUGGCGUAAUGGUCAUCAGUGACCCGUCUUGAAACACGGACCAAGGAGUCGUCCAUUAGAGCGAGCGUUUGGGUGUAAAACCCGCACGCGUAAUGAAAGUGAACGCAGGUGAGAGCUUCGGCGCAUCAUCGACCGAUCCUGAUGUUCUCGGAAGGAUUUGAGUAAGAGUUUUAACGGACGGACCCGAAAGACAGUGAACUAUGCUUGUAUAGGGUGAAGCCAGAGGAAACUCUGGUGGAGGCUCGCAGCGGUUCUGACGUGCAAAUCGAUCGU